AUGGUGGACUCUGGUUUCAAUUGGAGUGAAGAAGAAGCGCAGAAAGACCUGCGGGAGAAGAGGCCUUUUCGCAGACAUGAAGACUUUCCGGCUGAGGAUGGGGGAACCUGUGGAGGAAGCACACAUGUACCCAAACCAGCCAGCUGGGCUGAUGAGACAGAGGACCUGGAAGGAGGUGAUCAGUGCAGUAAGCGUUUACCCCGUGAACCCAGCAAUCCACAGAGCAAUCCACAGAGGUUGAAAGGUUUUGGCUAUGCUGCGUUUGAGGACCGGGAUUCCCUUCUCAGUGCUCUGAGUCUCAAUGAAGAGUCCCUAGGUAACAGGAGAAUUGGAGUGGAUGCUGCAGAUCAAGCACAGGAUGAAGACCCGGAUAGAAAUCGGGAUUCCGACAAAACAGAUAGACUGGAGAGCCCGUCCCACCACAGACAGCUCUGAUGACUACCCACCUCGAAGAGAGUACCGAGAUCGUUACGAUUCAGAUCGGUACGAUGACCGAGGCAGCAGAGACUCCGAUGAAGAGGAUUCCUCUGCUAGCACCGCCCAGUCCAGUCGAGCGCCUUCUAUCUUUGGAGGAGCAAAGCCCGUUGACACAGCUGCUAGAGAAAGAGAAGUAGAAGAGCCACUCCAGAAGGAACAAGAAAAAUGGCAACGUCAGCUGGAUGAGCCAAAACUAGAACGACGACCUCGGGAGAGACACCCACGCUGGAGAAGUGAAGAAACUCGGGACAGGAAGUGAGUCAUCGCAGACUGGGACCUCAGCCACAUCUGGCAGAAAUGUGCGAAGGAGAGAGAGAAGUCUCUAGAAUAUGAAACACUUAAUAAGAAGGAAGACUGUCACUCUCCAACUUCUAAGCCACCCAAACCUGAUCAGCCCCUAAAGGUAAUGCCAGCCCCUCCACCAACGGAGAAUGCUUGGGUGAAGCGAAGUUCUAACCCUCCUGCUCCAUCUCAGAGCUCAGAUACAGAGCAGCAGCCUCCUGAAAGUGGCGGAGGGAAACUAGCUUCGGCUCAGUCAACUGAGGAAGGACCAGCAAGGAAAGGAAAGAUGGCAAAAAGGAUCCAGACUCCAGAUCUGCACCAGACCAAAGAAACCUGAGGAAAAUCCAGCCUCUAAGUUCAGUCCUGCAAGCAAGUAUGCUGCUCUGUCUGUUGAUGGUGAAGAUGAAAACGAGAGAGAAGAUUACACCGCCUAGACCUCAACAUCCUGUGCUUCAGCCUAGUCUCUCUCCACCCUGGAACAUUCAAGAGCAAAUCAAACCUCUAUCCAGACAAGACAAAAUAAAACUCACCAUCUCCUG